UACCAGCACCCCGAGUGGUCGGGACGUUUAUUGGGCCUAAAGCAUCCGUAGCCGGUUCUACAAGUCUUCCGUUAAAUCCAGCUGCUUAACAGAUGGGCUGCGGAAGAUACUAUAAGACUAGGAGGCAGGAGAGGCAAGCGGUACUCAGUGGGUAGGGGUAAAAUCCGUUGAUCCAUUGAAGACCACCAGUGGCGAAGGCGGCUUGCCAGAAUGCGCUCGACGGUGAGGGAUGAAAGCUGGGGGAGCAAACCGG
rnacentral:rRNA from 1 species